AAUUGGAGGGCAAGUCUGGUGCCAGCAGCCGCGGUAAUUCCAGCUCCAAUAGCGUAUAUUAAAGUUGUUGCAGUUAAAAAGCUCGUAGUUGAAUUUCGGGAUUGGCACAUCGGUCGUGCCUUAAGGGGUAUGAACUGGUGUAGUCAAUUUCUCACCUUCUGGAGAACCGCGAUGCCCUUAAUUGGGUGUCACGGGGAACCAGGACCUUUACUUUGAAAAAAUUAGAGUGUUUAAAGCAGGCAUUUUGCUUGAAUACAUUAGCAUGGAAUAAUAAAAUAGGACGGCAUGAUUCUAUUUUGUUGGUUUCUAGGAUCACCGUAAUGAUUAAUAGGGAUAGUUGGGGGCAUUAGUAUUCAAUUGUCAGAGGUGAAAUUCUUGGAUUUAUUGAAGACUAACUACUGCGAAAGCAUUUGCCAAGGAUGUUUUCAUUAAUCAAGAACGAAAGUUAGGGGAUCGAAGACGAUCAGAUACCGUCGUAGUCUUAACCAUAAACUAUGCCGACUAGGAAUCAGACGAUGUUAAUUUUUUAAUGACUCGUUUGGCACCUUACGGGAAACCAAAGUGU
rnacentral:rRNA from 1 species